rnacentral:lncRNA from 1 species
UCAAAUUAAAAACACAAAAAGACGAUUUGGAUAGAAAAACAUUUGAGCUGAAAGUUUGACGGACAACUCUAGUAUAUGGAGGAUCAAGAUAUUUAAAGAUCCUUCAAAGUUGGAGUAAAGUUUGAUGAGCUCAAAAUGAUUUCAAAAGUCAAUCGAAUGAGUUUUUGAAAAAGAAUCCUGAACUAAUGUUUAGAAUUGUCUAAAUAUUCAUUGUUUAGAUAUACCAUUCAUCCCAAGAACAUGCUUCCAACUUGUUUCUUUCCCCAUUAUUUUUGUACCAGACUUACUCUUCAUUGAUUACUUUUCCCUUAAUUCACCUUGUGCUAUUUUAUUGUUGCAUCCUCAAAAUAAAUUGAGGAAAUGUAUGAUUGCAUUGUAUUUCUCACAAUGUGAAAUGAUAAUGAAUAAAUGAAUAUAUGCUUAAAAGAUUUUUG